CAUCUUUAAGCACACAUGUGAUGAAUCAUCCAAUCACCUGUCGGCUGUCAGUAAAGGUGACUGUUACCUUACAGUCGUCAGGGAGUCGCUCUUUUCUCACUCUUAAAUUAGACGACUCUUGAAUGUAAUUCUGGGCCCUGGAUUCAGAGUUAUGAGCCACACGGAGGAACAAAUUAGCAAAGAAAAGAACAAUCUAACCAGCUAAUGAACAACUCGACUGAUUUACUGACUCACUGACCGACUAACCAGCCAGCAAACAGCCUGCAAGGAGACGCAGCCGAGAGAGAAGCAGCGGCGAGUAAUGAAUGAAAAGUGGAGCGACAUUUAGACAAAAUUGGAUGACCUUUCCAGAUCCUUCCGCCGAGUCCGCUAAGUAGAUCGGACGGCGAACGCGACGCGGCGACACUUUACUCAGAUUGUUACAGAAUGAGGAAAAAAAUAAAAGCUUGGCGGUCAUGA